ensembl:snoRNA
AUCAAAUUGCAAUUCUGGGUGUUCACAUGUAUGUGUAAGAUAUGCCUCCCUCAAACCUUAUUACAAUGUCAGUACAUUACCCAUCUAACA